GUAGCAAUAUCGGUUUGUUUCAGUGCGGGACGGGUGAGUAAUGCAUAGGUAACGUACCUCGUGAUUGGGGAUAGCGUCGGGCCCGCAAGGGUCCUUUGCGAAAGUGACGUUAAUACCUGAUGAUGUCUUUGAGUCGCAUGGCUUGAAGACCAAAGGUGGGGACCGCAAGGCCUACCGGCAUGAGAUCGGCCUAUGCCCUAUCAGCUUGUUGGUGAGGUAAUGGCUUACCAAGGCUAUGACGGGUAGCCGGCGUGAGAGCGCGACCGGCCACAUCGGGACUGAGACACUGCCCGGACACCUACGGGUGGCUGCAGCAACGAAUAUUCCGCAAUGGGCGCAAGCCUGACGGAGCGACGCCGCGUGAAGGAUGAAGUCCCUCGGGAUGUAAACUUCAAUAGUUUGUGAGGAAGUAACCCGGCCUAAUAUGCCGGGAAGUUGACCAGCAAAUGAAAGGGGCGGCUAACUCCGUGCCAGCAGCCGCGGUAAGACGGAGGCCCCGAGCGUUGUUCGGAAUUACUGGGCUUAAAGCGCGUGUAGGCGGGUCGGUAAGUGCUUUGUGAAAGCCCCGGGCUCAACCCGGGAAUUGCUUGGCAUACUGCCGGUCUUGAGGCAGGUAUGGGUCACUGGAACCUUAGGUGUAGCGGUGAAAUGCGUAGAUAUCUAAGGGAACGCCGGUGGCGAAAGCGGGUGACUGGGCCUGUCCUGACGCUGAGACGCGAAAGCGUAGGGAGCAAACGGGAUUAGAUACCCCGGUAGUCUACGCUGUAAACGAUGCGCACUAGGUUCGAGAACCCCUGACGGUCCUCGGGCCGAAACAAAAGCGUUAAGUGCGCCGCCUGGGGAGUACGGCCGCAAGGCUAAAACUCAAAG
rnacentral:rRNA from 1 species